AUACGGAGGGUGCAAGCGUUACUCGGAAUCACUGGGCGUAAAGCGCGCGCAGGCGGUCUUUUAAGUUGGAUGUGAAAGCCUACGGCUCAACCGUAGAACUGCAUCCAAAACUAUUAGACUAGAGUGUGCGAGAGGAAGAUGGAAUUAGUUGUGUAGGGGUAAAAUCCGUAGAGAUAACUAGGAAUACCAAAAGCGAAGGCAAUCUUCUGGAACACUACUGACGCUGAGGCGCGAAAGCGUGGGGAGCAAACAGGAUUAGAAACCCUAGUAGUCC
rnacentral:rRNA from 1 species